AGUGAACGCUGGCGGCAGGCCUAAUACAUGCAAGUCGAACGGCAGCACAGCAGAGCUUGCUCUGUGGGUGGCGAGUGGCGGACGGGUGAGGAAUACAUGGGAAUCUGCCCAGUCGUGAGGGAUAACGUAGGGAAACUUACGCUAAUACCGCAUGCGCCCUUCGGGGGAAAGCCGGGGACCUUCGGGCCUGGCGCGAUUGGAUGAGCCCAUGUCGGCUUAGCUAGUUGGCGGGGUAAAGGCCCACCAAGGCGACGAUCCGUAGCUGGUCUGAGAGGAUGAUCAGCCACACUGGAACUGAGACACGGUCCAGACUCCUACGGGAGGCAGCAGUAGGGAAUAUUGGACAAUGGGCGCAAGCCUGAUCCAGCCAUGCCGCGUGAGUGAAGAAGGCCUUCGGGUUGUAAAGCACUUUUGUCCGGAAAGAAAAGCAUCCAGUUAAUACCUGGGUGUCCUGACGGUACCGGAAGAAUAAGCACCGGCUAACUUCGUGCCAGCCGCCGCAGUAAGAC
rnacentral:rRNA from 1 species